rnacentral:rRNA from 1 species
GACGAACGCUGGCGGCGUGCUUAACACAUGCAAGCCGAACGGGAGUAUUGAAGAAGCUUGCUUUAGAGAUACUUUAGUGGCGGACGGGUGAGUAACGCGUGAGGAGCUGUCCAAUGCAGGGGGACAACAGUUGGAAACGACUGCUAAUACCCCAUAAGCCGAGAGGUAAAAGGAUUUAUCCGGCAGAGGAGGUACUCGCGUCCUAUCAGCUAGUAGGUGAGGUAACGGCUCACCUAGGCGAAGACGGGUAGCCGGCCUGAGAGGGCGAACGGCCACACUGGAACUGAGAUACGGUCCAGACUCCUACGGGAGGCAGCAGUGGGGAAUAUUGGGCAAUGGGGGGAACCCUGACCCAGCGACGCCGCGUGGGUGAAGAAAUCCUUCGGGAUGUAAAGCCCUGUUGUAUGGGAAGAGCGGAAGACGGUACCAUACGAGGAAGCCCCGGCAAACUACGUGCCAGCAGCCGCGGUAAU